rnacentral:lncRNA from 9 species
GGGCACAGUCACCAAAAAUUGAGACGCCUGGGUGGGGGCUGGGCACCGAAUCCUCGGCUCCAGAGGUUAGUCCCGGGAAAGGGCCGGGGGACGCCUGGGUGGGGGCUGGGCACCGAGACCUCAGCUCUGAAGGUUGGUCCCCGAGAGGGGCCGGGGACGCCUGGGUUGGGGCUGGGCACCGAGACCUCGCCUCCGAAGGUUAGUCCCCAAGAAAGGGCCGGGGGACGCCUGGGGGGGGGGCUGGGCACCGAGACCUCGGCUCCAGAGAUUAGUCCCCGGGCUAGGGGGCGGGGAAGAGCGGAAACUGCUUGGGAGGUCUCUAAACCAUUUGACGGGGCAGAGACUGCCUGGGAGACUAGAAAACAAAGCUGUCGCAGAGGAAGGGAGCAAUACUCUAGGGGCGGGGAAGUGGAAAGCCGCCUCAGAGGGAACCUUGGAGAAGAGCCUGGUCUGCGCCAGUGCUGGGGAGGGGAGAGAAGAAGGGGUGGGUCCCCAUAGAAUACCCCCCACGCCACAACAAGCUUACAGGCCCGCUAGCUAGCAGAAAGCUGUGCUUCCCAGUGCAUUCCCUCCCCCCACCCCCACCACCCCCUACGCUCUCGCCGAACCUGGGGCUGCCUGCCAUCCAGGAGGGCUGGCCUCAACAAUUGCCUGAAGCCUACCACCGCAGGGGCUCUCCCUGCACAGGCCUGCUUGCCCUUUGGAGGGGCUACACUUCCACAGAGCAGCACCAAACACCACCAGCCCCCUAAAAAAGGCCUGCAGCCCAGAAAAGCUAGAACAAGCCUAGCCAGGCCGUGAAUAGAUCGACCUAAUUCUCUGACGGUUUUUCUGAGACGGGCUCCCCCGGGGAGGAGCCUCUUGAGUCUCCAAGGGCCUUGCUACACGCCCAAGACCCUAGGGGUGGACCAGCUGCAUAGGACUGCCAGCUCCAGGCAGGACCCCCUGCAGCCCAGAAAAGCUGCAACAAGCCUGGCGGAAUCGGGAAAAGAUCUCAGACGGUCUUUCUGAGUCGGGCUGUCCUGGGGAGGAGCCUCUUGAGCCUCCAAGGGCCCUGCUACCCGCCCAAGACCCCAGGGGGUGCUGAGACCUAGUGGACCAGCUGCAUAGGACUGCCAGCUCCAGGCAGGACCCCCUGCAGCCCAGAAAAGCUGCAACAAGCCUGGCCGACUUGGGAAAAGAUCCCAGACGGUCUUUCUGAGUCGGGCUGUCCUGGGGAGGAGCCUCUUGAGUCUCCAAGGGCCCUGCUACCCGCCCAAGACCCCAGGGGGUGCUGAGACCUAGUGGACCAGCUGCAUAGGACUGCCAGCUCCAGGCAGGACCCCCUGCAGCCCAGAAAAGCUGCAACAAGCCUGGCCGACUUGGGAAAAGAUCUCAGACGGUCUUUCUGAGUCGGGCUGUUCUGGGGAGGAGCCUCUUGAGUCUCCA